rnacentral:rRNA from 1 species
AUUGAACGCUGGCGGCAUGCUUUACACAUGCAAGUCGAACGGCAGCGCGGGGGCAACCCUGGCGGCGAGUGGCGAACGGGUGAGUAAUGCAUCGGAACGUAUCCUGUAAUGGGGGAUAACGUAGCGAAAGUUACGCUAAUACCGCAUACGCUCGAGAGAGGAAAGUGGGGGAUCGCAAGACCUCACGUUAUAGGAGCGGCCGAUGUCCGAGUAGCUAGUUGGUGGGGUAAAGGCCUACCAAGGCGACGAUCGGUAGCUGGUCUGAGAGGAUGAUCAGCCACACUGGGACUGAGACACGGCCCAGACUCCUACGGGAGGCAGCAGUGGGGAAUUUUGGACAAUGGGCGAAAGCCUGAUCCAGCCAUGCCGCGUGCGGGAAGAAGGG